AUACGAAGGGGGCUAGCGUUGUUCGGAAUUACUGGGCGUAAAGGGCGCGUAGGCGGUACUUCAAGUCAGGCGUGAAAGCCCCGGGCUCAACCUGGGAACCGCGCUUGAGACUGGAGAACUAGAGUUCGGGAGAGGAUGGUGGAAUUCCCAGUGUAGAGGUGAAAUUCGUAGAUAUUGGGAAGAACACCGAUGGCGAAGGCAGCCAUCUGGACCGACACUGACGCUGAGGCGCGAAAGCGUGGGGAGCAAACAGGAUUAGAUACCCUGGUAGUCCACGCCGUAAACGAUGAGUGCUAGACGUUGGGGUCCUUAGGGCUUCGGUGUCGCAGCUAACGCAUUAAGCACUCCGCCUGGGGAGUACGGCCGCAAGGUUAAA
rnacentral:rRNA from 1 species